UGGGAACGUGCCUUUUGGUUCGGAACAACACAGGGAAACUUGUGCUAAUACCGGAUAAGCCCUUACGGGGAAAGAUUUAUCGCCAAAAGAUCGGCCCGCGUCUGAUUAGCUAGUUGGUGGGGUAAUGGCCCACCAAGGCGACGAUCAGUAGCUGGUCUGAGAGGAUGAUCAGCCACAUUGGGACUGAGACACGGCCCAAACUCCUACGGGAGGCAG
rnacentral:rRNA from 1 species